ACCAUAGACCUAAUCCCUAAUCCCUUAUUCCGUUCUCCACUUCUCCAUCGUCUCUCACCGCCUCUGCGCCGCCCUCGGCGACACUCCGGUCAGUGAACGCUAGCUUCUGUUUUGAAGUAAAGCUUUGACAAAAGGUAUCAAUUGUACUCCAGGUAGCAGUAAAGAAGGAUAUGAGUGCUUUCAAUGCUUUCAAAGCCUGUGCUCCAAUUGCAUGGAGCCCAAAUCUGUACAUUACGCUUGUAAGAGGUAUUCCGGGCACUAGGAGGCUCCAUAGGCGAACCUUAGAAGCAUUGCGUCUUCAGAAAUGCAACCGAACAGUGAUGCGGUGGAACACCCCUACUGUCAGGGGAAUGCUCCAGCAGGUGAAACGGUUGGUAGUUGUUGAAACAGAAGAGAUGUACAAGGCACGAAAGGAGAAAGCAGCUAACCACCGUGCCCUGCGCCCCCCAUUGGUCAUAAAUCACCAUCCAGCUUCUGCAACCAGUUCCAGUCAGUAACGGCUGAAUGCCGCCAUCCCUUUGCAGGUGCAAUGGAGUAAGGGAAAUUGGCAUUUCAAUACGCUGCAAUAUAGCGCCAUUGAAGUGUGGAUUUCAUGGUCCCAGUAAUAAGAGAAGACGAUAGACAUUUCACAUUGAUGGAUUUUAGAGUUUCUAUCCUCUUGAACUUUUGAGCAUAAUUGUAGUUUUUGGCCAAUAGCAAGGUAGGUUCUUCAAGUUCAAGACAAAAUGUAUCUCAAUGGUGAAUCACAUUUGUGUUUUAUACUGGUUUAAUUCAUGGUCUAGAUUGUGGUAUGGGUGUAAAUGAGACUUGAAUAGUCAAAGUUUGAAGCUCGAGUUCGAUCAAAUACUAAUUAUUUGA